rnacentral:rRNA from 1 species
UGGGGAAUAUUGCACAAUGGGGGAAACCCUGAUGCAGCGACGCCGCGUGAACGAAGAAGGUAUUCGUAUCGUAAAGUUCUGUCCUAUGGGAAGAUAAUGACAGUACCAUAGAAGAAAGCUCCGGCUAAAUACGUGCCAGCAGCCGCGGUAAUACGUAUGGAGCGAGCGUUGUCCGGAAUUAUUGGGCGUAAAGGGUACGCAGGCGGUUUAAUAAGUCGAAUGUUAAAGAUCGGGGCUCAACCCCGUAAAGCAUUGGAAACUGAUAAACUUGAGUAGUGGAGAGGAAAGUGGAAUUCCUAGUGGAGUGGUGAAAUACGUAGAUAUUAGGAGGAAUACCAGUAGCGAAGGCGACUUUCUGGACACAAACUGACGCGGAGGUACGAAAGCGUGGGGAGCAAACAGG